rnacentral:rRNA from 1 species
GACGAACGCUGGCGGCGUGCUUAACACAUGCAAGUCGAACGAAGCUUGAUUACGGAUUCUUCGGAUGAAGUAUGAUAUGACUGAGUGGCGGACGGGUGAGUAACGCGUGAGUAACCUGCCCUUCAGAGGGGGAUAGCGUUUGGAAACGAACGGUAAUACCGCAUAAUGUAUUUUGACCGCAUGAUCGAAAUACCAAAGAUUUAUCGCUGAAGGAUGGACUCGCGUCUGAUUAGGUAGUUGGUGGGGUAACGGCCUACCAAGCCGACGAUCAGUAGCCGGACUGAGAGGUUGAUCGGCCACAUUGGGACUGAGACACGGCCCAGACUCCUACGGGAGGAAGCAGUGGGGAAUAUUGCACAAUGGGCGCAAGACUGAUGCAGCAACGCCGCGUGAAGGAAGACGGUUUUCGGAUUGUAAACUUCUGUUCUUAGUGAAGAAUAAUGACGGUAGCUAAGGAGCAAGCCACGGCUAACUACGUG